rnacentral:sRNA from 1 species
CAACCGGCAGUGCCAGUUUACAUUUGGGGAGGACUCCAAACACUGCCCCGAUGCAGCCAGCACAUGUAGCACCUUGUGGUGUACCGGCACCUCUGGCGGGGUGCUGGUGUGCCAAACCAAACACUUCCCGUGGGCAGAUGGCACCAGCUGUGGAGAAGGGAAAUGGUGUAUCAACGGCAAGUGUGUGAACAAAACCGACAGAAAGCAUUUUGAUGUGAGUUUUUCUACUGAAACACAUUCAGAAUUGAAAAGAACAAAGUGAUGGUAAAAGAUAUGAUACCAAGUUAAACAUCCCCAUCUGUGUCCUCUAGCAGGAAUGCGAGAUAGCUUAUUUUUAGAAUUGAUUCUUUGUCCCAUGUGGCUUUCUUUGAUACCCUAAAAGUUCUCUUUAGAUAAUUCUAAUGCUGAUGAUUUAUGUCUCCAUUUAGACGCCUUUUCAUGGAAGCUGGGGAAUGUGGGGGCCUUGGGGAGACUGUUCGAGAACGUGCGGUGGAGGAGUCCAGUACACGAUGAGGGAAUGUGACAACCCAGUCCCAAAGAAUGGAGGGAAGUACUGUGAAGGCAAACGAGUGCGCUACAGAUCCUGUAACCUUGAGGACUGUCCAGACAAUAAUGGAAAAACCUUUAGAGAGGAACAAUGUGAAGCACACAACGAGUUUUCAAAAGCUUCCUUUGGGAGUGGGCCUGCGGUGGAAUGGAUUCCCAAGUACGCUGGCGUCUCACCAAAGGACAGGUGCAAGCUCAUCUGCCAAGCCAAAGGCAUUGGCUACUUCUUCGUUUUGCAGCCCAAGGUUGUAGAUGGUACUCCAUGUAGCCCAGAUUCCACCUCUGUCUGUGUGCAAGGACAGUGUGUAAAAGCUGGUUGUGAUCGCAUCAUAGACUCCAAAAAGAAGUUUGAUAAAUGUGGUGUUUGUGGGGGAAAUGGAUCUACUUGUAAAAAAAUAUCAGGAUCAGUUACUAGUGCAAAACCUGGAUAUCAUGAUAUCAUCACAAUUCCAACUGGAGCCACCAACAUCGAAGUGAAACAGCGGAACCAGAGGGGAUCCAGGAACAAUGGCAGCUUUCUUGCCAUCAAAGCUGCUGAUGGCACGUAUAUUCUUAAUGGUGACUACACUUUGUCCACCUUAGAGCAAGACAUUAUGUACAAAGGUGU